GGGUCAAAGGUCACCAGCGGGUGGUCACCCUGGCCCAGCACAUCAGUGAGGUCAUCACACAGGACUACACCCGGCACCACCCACAGCAGCUCAGCGCACCCCUGCCCGCCCCCCUCUACUCCUUCCCUGGGGCCAGCUGCCCCGUCCUGGACCUCCGCCGCCCACCCAGUGACCUCUACCUCCCGCCCCCGGACCAUGGUGCCCCGGCCCGUGGCUCCCCCCACAGCGAAGGGGGCAAGAGGUGAGCGAGGGAUGGGGGUGCCUCUUGCUGGUCAGCCGGUGGGAGGCCUUCGUCAGCUGCCUGCCUCAGAGCUGGGUCUG
rnacentral:sRNA from 1 species